rnacentral:rRNA from 1 species
GACGUAGGGCGCGAGCGUUGUCCGGAUUUAUUGGGCGUAAAGAGCUCGUAGGCGGCUUGUUGCGUCGACCGUGAAAACCCGUGGCUCAACUGCGGGCUUGCGGUCGAUACGGGCAGGCUAGAGUUCGGUAGGGGAGACUGGAAUUCCUGGUGUAGCGGUGAAAUGACGCAGAUAUCAGGAGGAACACCGGUGGCGAAGGCGGGUCUCUGGGCCGAUACUGACGCUGAGGAGCGAAAGCGUGGGGAGCGAACAGG